rnacentral:rRNA from 1 species
AGCAGCCGCGGUAAUUCCUGCUCCAAUAGCGUAUAUUAAAGUUGUUGCAGUUAAAAAGCUCGUAGUUGAAUUUCGGGAUCAAUAUGUCGGUCGUGCCUUCGGUACGUACUGGUAUCAUUGGUCUCUCCUUUCUGACGAACCAUGAUGUCAUUAAUUUGGUGUUAUGGGGAGUUAGGACUGUUACUUUGAAAAAAUUGAGUGUUUAAAGCAGGCUUUAGCUUGAAUACAUUAGCAUGGAAUAAUGAAAUAGGACGUUCGAACCUAUUUUGUUGGUUUCUAGGAUCAACGUAAUGAUUAAUAGGGAUAGUUGGGGGCAUUAGUAUUCAAUUGUCAGAGGUGAAAUUCUUGGAUUUAUUGAAGACUAACUACUGCGAAAGCAUUUGCCAAGGAUGUUUUCAUUAAUCAAGAACG